GACGAACGCUGGCGGCGUGCUUAACACAUGCAAGUCGAACGGAAAGGCCCUGCUUUUGUGGGGUGCUCGAGUGGCGAACGGGUGAGUAACACGUGAGUAACCUGCCCUUGACUUUGGGAUAACUUCAGGAAACUGGGGCUAAUACCGGAUAGGAGCUCCUGCUGCAUGGUGGGGGUUGGAAAGUUUCGGCGGUUGGGGAUGGACUGGCGGCUUAUCAGCUUGUUGGUGGGGUAGUGGCUUACCAGGGCUUUGACGGAUAGCCGGCCUGAGAGGGUGACCGGCGACAUUGGGACUGAGAUACGGCCCAGACUCCUACGGGAGGCAGCAGUGGGGAAUAUUGCACAAUGGGCGGAAGCCUGAUGCAGCAACGCCGCGUGCGGGAUGACGGCCUUCGGGUUGUAAACCGCUUUCGCCUGUGACGAAGCGUGAGUGACGGUAAUGGGUAAAGAAGCACCGGCUAACUACGUG
rnacentral:rRNA from 1 species